rnacentral:lncRNA from 1 species
CGAGUGCAAAACACAUAUUUCAUAAUCAAAAAUAAGUUUAGAUGUCUAAAACAUUCAUUUAAAGUGAAAUUAUAAAUAUUUGAAUAUAAUAAAAAUAUUAAACAAAAUAUUCUAUUUUUUUAUAAAACAAUAUUUAUAGAGGUAUUCGUAAAUAAUUUUUUGUAGCGUAAAAACAAAAUAAAUUCGUACAUACAGUAACACAGUGAGCCAAAGUGUGUAAUCUAAUUUACAAUGACAUGUGGGCCCUCGAAUGAUCAAAAGUAACAAAGGCUACGAACCUACGAUUUCUGAAGAUGCAAAUCCAACUGUAGCCCUCGAUGAAACCAGCUAUCUACAGACUAUCCAGAGCUUGAAAUGGGUGAAAAGGAGGGUGGUGAGAUUAUAUAAUCCCAAUGAGUAAACAAAUAUCAUCUAAAAUAUCUAAAGCUGAGUAAAUGGAGACAGAUAAAAUAAAUUAGCAUAAAAAUGAUUCACAACAUUUCGAACUCAUUUUAAUAAGAUAAAAUAAAUUCAUUUCACCCAAAUAAACAAUGAAGCUUAUGAUUUCUUGAAAAGCUUGGCUGGUGCCAAAAUCAUUCUCAUACUCGGUUGUUAAGGAUACCUUGGCCUGGGGCUAUCCCAGGUGAAUCCGCCAAGGCUGUUAAAAAGUCAUGUACGCAUAAAUCAUGUUUUUAUUUUGAAAACAUAGCUGGUUCCUUGGCGUUAGCUGAGUUCACCCUCACGUGGUGGUUUGGCGUGAAAUGAACUCCAAAGUUUUAUCUCAGGAGUUACCCUACGCGCCUCUCCGAUCGAGGUAAGAAUAUAACCGAAUUUCGUACCCCUCUAAUAGGCUGGUCUACAGAACCCGCCUACUGCAGCAAGCUAAACCCACCAUACAAUAAAAUUUGUGAUAGCAUGACAUGGCAAUUAUUUUAUUUUACAGCCUCUCAAGGCAAAUCAACAGUUCAUACAUUUUCAGCACAUUUACCAAUUUAACCAUUCAUGCCAAUAUUGCCAUAAGCCAAUUAAUUAGAACCAUAAAUUUACAACACAUCAAGUGGUCUCCAAUUACUCUAUUUUCAAAACCAUCAUUCAAUUUCAAGACAAUUUUAUAAAAUCAUUUCAUUUAAUUACAUUUUGCUUAUAAAAUAUAAAGAUUUACCAUUUAAACUCAUUUUCCAUAAAAUCACAAAAACGAAUUAAAAUUCACUUUAAAUAAUCAAGAUGAUGAUAAGGUUACUCACUGUAAUGGGAAUCGAAUUCCAUGUACUCCGAUUCUUGACCCUCGGGUACUAUCUCUUUACUCUUGCCAGAAUGCUCACUACCUAGACAUAAUUCAUAAUAAGCCAUUUACUACAUUUGUGCUAAAUUGUUAUAAAACCAAUUCAGGCUCUAUACUAAUGCAUGAAAUGGGAUGUGAAAUGAUCGGGUAACCAUCUAAAUACGGCGCUCAAUAUAUGUUCAAUUGUGUACCUAAAUAAAAUGGUAUUAGCCUAAUUCGAUCCAUCGCCCGAUCAAUUGGCCAAUAUGUCCAAUUCAACUCCAAACAAUUCCAUUUCUCUCCCAAUACUCCAAAUCAUUAAACUCAAGUCAAGUAACAUAAAAUUUAGCAAGAUCAUCUUCACAUUUCUUCUUGGGAAUUUUGGCCAAGGUAAGUGCAUGAACACUAUGGUUUUUCCCACUUGAUUUUUACACCAUAAAUCAUUAAUUCUUAACCAAAUCACUUGAAAUAAAAUCAAGUCCACCAUCAACACACCAUAGGGAAGAUUCGGCCAAUGAAGGGUGAUGGAAGAAAAUGAAUUUUUCUUGUUUGCUUUUCAUGCUACACAUCACUAACUAACUAAAAAUACUAGAAUAUAUUGAAAUCUAACCAAAUCCAAGUUCAAAACUCCUCCCCCCAUGUCCAGCCAACAAAGGUAUCCUCAUGCAAACUUGAUUCUCAACCAUGGAAAAUGAAAAAGAAUGCACAGGAAAGGUAGAUCACAAGCUAGAAUUGAAAAAUCUUACCUUUAAUGGCUUGAUUCCUUGAAAUUUGGUGAAUUUCUCUUGAAUUUCUUAGCUAGGGUUUUUGUUCUUCUUCUUUUCUUCCCUUGUCUUCCUUUGGCCGACCAAGAGAAAUGAGUUGG